rnacentral:rRNA from 1 species
UUAUCGGAGAGUUUGAUCCUGGCUCAGGACGAACGCUGGCGGCGUGCCUAAUACAGGCAAGUCGAGCGGACAGAUGGGAGC